rnacentral:lncRNA from 1 species
GGCUUUUCAAAGAGUAUGGUCUUAUUGGAACACUUCCAUGUUGAUUGCUCAGGCUGUAAUCCUUUAGCCCAUGGCUACUUUAUGGGGAGGAGAAUGUCUACCUUUGCUUGAAGUUAGUACCCUGGCCAGAAUGCACUUUGUUUCUUCUGUCUCCCCCUUCUCCUGUUUCUGCACCAACUUGGAUGUGGCUUGGAUAACUGGCCUCUAGACCAUCCUCAGUGCCUCCUGCACCAUGGUUCCUUCUCUCUUCACUGUCAAGGAGCAAGAAAAGCACCGCCGGACAUAACACUUCCCACUCUAAAUUUCUCCACCUAUGUCUCAGGUAAUGCUUCUCCAGGAGUGAGGGCUAGUAUGGGGCACCAACAGCGGAGAUUAGAGCAUCAUAUGGAGUUCCAGAGAACAGCUGCACAACCAGACCCAUUGUUCUCAAGCAAGAGUCCUUCUACAACCCCCAUACCCAAAGUCCAUGGUCAUGUUUCAGUGCUGUAAGAAGUACUGGAAACCAAACAGCACACCUUUUCUUGGAGGGAGAAGGAGUCGACUUUUCUUGAUAUUGUGUGAGUAAAUUUAUAUUUUAUUUUACAUGUAAUAUAAUAUGUAUGUAUAUUAUAUUAUACAUAU